GAAAUGCGAUAAGUAAUGUGAAUUGCAGAAUUCAGUGAAUCAUCGAAUCUUUGAACGCACAUUGCGCCCGCCAGUAUUCUGGCGGGCAUGCCUGUCCGAGCGUCAUUUCAACCAUCAAGCCCCCGGGCUUGUGUUGGGGACCUGCGGCUGCCCACAGGCCCUGAAAACCAGUGGCGGGCUCGCUGUCACACCGAGCGUAGUAGCAAUCACCUCGCUCAGGGCGUGCUGCGGGUUCCGGCCGUUAAACAGCCUUACAAAACCCAAGGUUGACCUCCGAUCAGGUAGGAAGACCCGCUGAACUUAAGC
rnacentral:misc_RNA from 1 species